AUGCUGAGCGCGGCACAUUCCCGGCCGGGGGGGAGGCCGAGCGCAGCCCCUGCCACCGCCAGCUCCGGGGUCCGGCGCGGGGUCCGGCGCAGCGUUACGAGCCCAGCCACCGGCAUGGCCGCGGGGUGCCGGCCCGCGUCCCCCUGGACCUACCGGAGCUUCGCCGGGGAGUACGCGUACCUGGAGAAGCGUUUGGUGGCAGAGCUGGCCCCCCCUUGGCCCCCCGUGCCCCGCGGUUGCCCUGUUGCCACCCCCUGCCCGCCACAGGACUUCACCUACCGGCCCCCCCCAGGCCACGAGAGCCGGCCCCGGGCCCCCCCAGCCCGCUGUACCCCCGAGGGGUCAGGGUGCAGCUCCCCCCGGGGCCGGCACCCAGCAGCCCCCCCCCGCAACCCGGUGCCGGGGGGUAAGCUGGGCCCCCCCAGCUACGAGACCCACAUGCGGCGGAUGCAGGCGGCCCAUGUGCGCCGGGGGGGGCCGCCCCCCUACAUCUCGCCCCCCGCCUACGACGCACCCCACCGCACCCUUCAGCCCCGGCCACGCAGCGGUCCCUGGGGGCCACGCAGCCCCCCCGCCCCGGCACCAAGGGGCCGUGGGGCUGUGCUGGGGGGCUGGAGCCACACGCUGCCCCGGGCAGCCACCGAGGUUGGGUCCCGGCGGCCCCGUGGGCUGCAGACCCCCCCUGGAGGAGUGGGACCCCCCCGGCACAGCCAGACCUUGCCCCGUGCGGCAGCUAGCCGGGAGCGGGGCCCAGGGCGCAACGGAGGACGGCGGGGGCAGGGGGGGCACGUCCUCAUCGAUGCCACCCGCGUGGUGGUCCGGGCCCAGUACGUGCCCCCCCCACAGCGGCAGCAGGUCCGGUACGCCGGGGGGAGCCCUGGGCCCGCUGCCCCCCCGGGCAGCCCCCCUGCGUCCCCCAAAACCCGCACCCCUCCAGCAGCACCCUCGCCCCCCCGCCAGCCGCCGUGCAGCCCCCGGGGCCCCAAGCAAAGCCCGGGGCCAGGAGGGGGGCCCCGGGGACGCCCCCCCCCGCGGCGGCCGGUGCUUUACGCCCAGGCGUUGCGGGAGGCCGUGUCCCGCAUCCGGCGGCACACGGCGCCCGACUCCGACUCGGAGGCCGAGGGGGGGUCCGGGGGGGGCCGGCGGUGGCCGUGCCGCGACGCCCUCGCCUACAGCAGCAGCAGCAGCAGCCUGGAGAGCACCGGAGCCCCCCCGGGAGCCGCCAGCCCCACCCGAGCCUGAGGGGCGGGGCCUGGAAGGGCGUGGUGCGAUGUGGGCGGGGCUUGGGAGGGUGUGGUCGGAGUGGGGCGGGGCCUGGGGGGGUGUGGUCCGUCUGGGGGCGGAGCUUGGGCACGGUUUUGGCGGGCCGGGGGUGGCGCCGACCCCAAUAAAGGCUGUGGGAUCCCACUGCUGAGCCUCUGCCCCUUGCGUGCGUGGGGAUGGGGGGGGCUCAGCCCCAAAGUGGGGGGAUCUAGCCCCAAAAAUGGUCCCAAACCGGGGGGGGGACCUGGCCCCAAAUGCGCCCUCCUCAGGUGUCCCCCCCACCCCUCCCUGCACUUGUGGCUCUGUCCCCAUCCCUAGCAAGGACCUGGGAUCCCCCCGUGGCCCCCCAGACCCAGGGGACCCCCCGCAGCCUCCCAAAGCGUCAUGGCCCCCCCUGGGCCCCCCCUUCCCGGGUCCCCCGUAAUGAGUAGGUGCNNNNNNNNNNUCCAAUUUGCACGUUAUUUAAAAACCGGCUCCUCCUCCGCCCCCCUGCG
rnacentral:lncRNA from 1 species